rnacentral:misc_RNA from 2 species
UCGUAACAAGGUCUCCGUAGGUGAACCUGCGGAGGGAUCAUUACACAAAUUAAAAUAUGAAGGCUUCGGCUGGAUUAUUUUUAUCACCCUUGUCUUUUGCGCACUUGUUGUUUCCUGGGCGGGUUCGCCCGCCACCAGGACCACACCAUAAACCUUUUUUAUGCAGUUGCAAUCAGCGUCAGUAUAACAAAUGUAAAUCAUUUACAACUUUCAACAACGGAUCUCUUGGUUCUGGCAUCGAUGAAGAACGCAGCGAAAUGCGAUACGUAGUGUGAAUUGCAGAAUUCAGUGAAUCAUCGAAUCUUUGAACGCACAUUGCGCCCUUUGGUAUUCCAAAGGGCAUGCCUGUUCGAGCGUCAUUUGUACCCUCAAGCUUUGCUUGGUGUUGGGCGUCUUUUGUCUUUGGCCUCGCCCAAAGACUCGCCUUAAAACGAUUGGCAGCCGGCCUACUGGUUUCGCAGCGCAGCACAUUUUUGCGCUUGCAAUCAGCAAAAAGGACGGCAAUCCAUCAAGACUACAUUUUUACGUUUGACCUCGGAUCAGGUAGGGAUACCCGCUGAACUUAAGCAUAUCAAUAA